GGCGGCAGAAACCGGUUCCGUUUACAUCCCGCUUGUGCGCAGCGUGGGGCCGGGCUGGGCGGCGGCUGAACAGUGUCGCGCGCUCUGCUCCUGCUGCUCCGCCCCCGAGCACCGCUGCUGAUACUCGCUGACAUCUCGCCCUUCCCCGGCUUCCCAGUGCGGCCGCUGCCGGGUGCAAGGGCGAGGGGAGCCCCGGGGGGACGUAGGGAGACGCGGUUACGAGUUGGGGUUGAAUGGCUGCGGGAGAGCUCGGCCAGCGCGUGGAGACGUUUGUCUGCUGGAAUCUUUUUAAAUACCCGACCUCACUUCUUCGCCACCCUGCUUUGUUAUGGAAACGUUGCACGGGCUCUGUGUCGCUAAUCUUCUUAAAUAUGUAGUAAGAUUUCAAAAGUAACAGUCCCAGGAACAUUGUCAGAUUUUUCUCAUAGUGGAUGUGGCGGUGGAAUAGAAAAAUAUGUAUGAAUAAAAAUGGAGUGACAGAUGUUCUGGUUUCUCUUCAAAUCGUAUAAAUCUUUUGCCUUUUACUAAAGAUGUUUACACAGUGUUGUAGGUUUGUUUUGUACAGUUUGUAAAUGUGUACUUUUAACUAUACGCACACAGACACAAAUGUUAAACGCUGUUAUGGUUGCAUAGUCAAGUACUCAGAAGUUAGAAAAUGUCAGAGUUAAUGUUGCUGCUGUAUUCUUAAUUCUGCCUUUUUGUGCAUAUGCAUUGUGAUACAAUCUUUAAUUAAAUUUCCACAUUUUUAUUCUUGGGACCUAUGCCUCAUUCAGUGCACAGGAUAAAAGGUGCUUGGUGAAUGAGGGAGCUAUUCAAUAUUUUUAUUUAUCAUUAUUCAGUGUGUGAUUUGCUGUACACAAACCAAACCCAGCCCAGAAUCAUUCAUUUUCUUUUCUAGGGUACCCAUCACCAUAGUGCUUGAGUGCCUCACAAAAAUAUAUGAAUGUCUUCACACUACCCAUGUGAAGGGUGGGUGGUAUUACUUAUGCCCAUUUUAUAGAUAGGGAACAAGAACAGAGCAAUUAAGGCCAAAAUUGACCUAUGUCCAUUAAUUUUGAGUGCCUCACUACCCAGGUACCCUACUUGAAAAAUCUAGAAUGUCAUUUUUCAGAGUUGCUGAGCACCCACAGCUCCUGUUGACAUCAAGUACAGUUGUAAGUGCUCAACACUUCUGAAAAUUAGAUUCUAGAGGUAGGAAACCUGUUGGUUUCAAUAGGAUCCUCAAUACAAGACAAAACUCCUAUUGAUUUUAGUGGAGUCACAAUUUCACUCUAGUAAUCUCAAGUGUGGCACUUAGAAAAUAAGGAACAUAAUUAUGAACAUUUUGGUGUGAGUGACUUACAGACUCCUUAUCUAAAGCUGGAUAACAGCCAAGAAUAGAACUCCGUUCUCUUGGGUCACAAUCAUGUUAACCACAAGAUCAUCUUUUCCCUUUCUUCCAGGUUUGGGAUAUGGCCCUGUAGUCACUUUCAUGAUUGGGGAAAUUCCACAUCUCCGGCACAAUAAUAAUCUCUUGCAGAAACUUCUACCCUUUGAACCCGCUCCUGUAGGAUUUACCACAGAAGGGAUGAUCCAGGGAAGUCUCAUACAAUCAUGACCUAGAAAAUUGCUUGAAAAAGUAGAAGGGGAUGAAACAGCUUGUCAUGUAAUCAAACUGAUUAGAGCUUCUGCUUCAAAAACAUAAUGCAGAAACAGAGAUGUGAUAGCAAGCAUGCAUUCCAGAGCACAUAAAAAUGUGGAAAGAGGUAUUUUUCCAUUGCAAAAAGACAACACUCAGAAGUACAAUCUCAAACAGUUAAUAUUAUAUUCUAUUUACAAACCCCAUAUUAGCAGAGGUUAUUGUGUGGAUUGUGGAUAAUAUUGCAAUACACUAGUAUCUUGUUAAAACAAAAAAUGCAUUUAUUGUUUGCCUGACUUUCACACCCAUCUGUGGUUAUUUUCAAAUAAUAUUGCUUUGUAUGAAGAGCAGUAGCAGAGCUUUAUGCAUAUAUAUAUAUAUAUAUAUAUACCCCACAUAUUUUAACAAUAUGUACAAAUGCCAAGAGUUAUUGCAUGAAUUACACUUUGAAAUGUAAAAUCUACCGAUAAACAUGACACAGUAUGAACAUCUCUAAAAGAGAUAGGGCUCAUAUGGGUCAUGAUCCAAAACUCAUAGAAGUCAGUGGAAAGACUGUCAUUUGGAUCAGGCCCAUGUUUACUGGCAUUAUAUCUUUGCUUGCAGCAUUCUUUUCUACAUCAUAGUUUUGCUAUCAGUACCUUCUGUCACUUUUACAUAUACACUAAUUCGGUAAACAAGGUACUCAAAAGUAGCAAGCAUCCAGCCAUCCGAUCUGGAGCUUUCUCAGAUAAGAGCAAACACAAAAUGCAUUACUAUGGAAAAUAUGCCUUAUGCCAAGGGCGCAAACAGCUUUGGUGCCCUGGAUUUAUAGUGCAAACACAUAUGCAUUAACGGUACACACCACUCUCAUAAAAUGUAUUUCUUUUAUUAUGAACAACCUUAUUUCCUGAAAAGCAUUGUUAAGAAUCUAUCUCAAUUCCCAUUAAAACCCACAUUUCAAGUGUU